CGCCCAUGGGGAACGCCAGCCGUUAGUCUGUUGUUUACUCCGUAUCGCUAUGAAUCGUAUAGUUUUAAUUUUGAGCAUAUUCUUCGUAGUGCAGAAAAGUAUUCCGUAGGCCGGGUCAUUUAUUUUAUGGGCCCGGGCAAAGCUAAACUCAUUCAGUAUUCCGUAUUUUCCAACGGAACGCAAGACAGGAUCAUGUGGCAAACUUGUCAGCAAGCGCAUCGGCCUAGCUAUAAAUACCGGGAGCGGCCGUAUCGUCCGUCAGUAGUGUGAGAGGCGGUCAGUGUGCAGGGUAUUUUUUUUUUCCCCUGUUGGUUAGAAAACAUGGAAGGUCAUAGCGAGAAAGGGAAGGUCUCUAUGGAAGAUCGCAGCGAGAAAGAGGUCUCAGUGGAAUAUGAUAGCGAGAAAAGGAAGGUGCCAAUAACCAUUUAUAACGAGAAAGGUGUAAAGAAUCUGAAGCGCAGCAAGGAUGACCAGGAAAUAAGUUUGAGUAUCAUCUUACUUCAUAUUAAUAUUUGGGUUACGAAACUUCUGCAUUAUUAAAGACGUCAGUGUUGCAUUUUGUUUACGCUCGCAAUAGCCCUAGGUAUUGUGGUUGCUGGUGUAGGAAUUUCCGUGUUACUUCGUGGGGGAGGCAAUGAAACAGUGCCUUACGACCACAACACAAUACUGGACAAAACCACAACUACCUACCUUACCCAUUCUACUGAAGAAGCUCCCGAAGUUACGCAGCCGCCCACCAGCAACCACCCACGACCAACCUAUGCUGACUCUGAAUCCUCUGAACUACACAUGGAAGCUGAUCGACGACAAAAUCAGUCGCUGGAGGGUCCAGAAUGUACCCCGCGUUUUCAUGAAGCGCUGCUGGCGUCGCUACUCAAUCCCAAAGACGAGCUUUUGGAUAAGAACAUCUAUCCCAAGAGAAUCAUAAUUGGAAAAUGUAUUGAGGACCACUGCAAAGACAAGAGGUUAAAGUGUCUGCCGGCCUCGGAUAGCACAGGGCUGAUAACUGUACUAGUGUUCUACGAGGAAAAUGGAAAACCUGUCUUCGUGAAAAGAACCGUCCCGAGCGAUUCCAGCUGCGAGUGCCUACCCUGCUUUACGCGAAACUGAGGUCCAAUCGCAUUCCACACUGCCCGGAGGUGCCCACAGGUAGCGAUGGGUCCGCUGGUUUCACUGGUCAUCUGUUCAAGCUGGUUUCACUGGUCGUCUGUUCAAGAAGCCUGAAUGUUGGUUUCUGAAUCAUUUACAUGCACGCAGAUCUAAUUUUAUUUAGAGCAUGUUUGAAAAAAGAAAAAGAGAAAAUAAAACGUAAAUAGUGCAAAUAUUUAUUUAUAUCCAUGGAUGUUAUGUGAUAUAUUAUAAUAUUAUUAUGAUAUGUAAAGAAAUAGAUAACGUUAUGAUAGGAAAAUAAGAUGUCAGAAUCACUGUCCAGGUUCAUGUACAAAGUUUAAAUAAAUAAAUAGUAUGAAAACUG